UACGUAGGGUGCAAGCGUUGUCCGGAAUUAUUGGGCGUAAAGAGCUCGUAGGCGGUUUGUCGCGUCUGCUGUGAAAACUCGGGGCUUAACCCCGGGCCUGCAGUGGGUACGGGCAGACUAGAGUGCGGUAGGGGAGACUGGAAUUCCUGGUGUAGCGGUGAAAUGCGCAGAUAUCAGGAGGAACACCGGUGGCGAAGGCGGUUCUCUGGGCCUUACCUGACACUGAGGAGCGAAAGCGUGGGGAGCGAACAGG
rnacentral:rRNA from 1 species